CAUCAUGACCGGCUCCUUAAACAGUGUAUCACUCAGUAGCUAGUACUGAUUGUCACGUCCCACACGCUGAAGAGAACGGACGGACUGCAGACUACAGAGCCGUGAAGACAGAAAAUCGAACUGUCUCUUUGAAGAGAGAGCUGCAUGUGUGGCUUACAGCAGGCACCUGAGUCAUUUGGUCCUUUCUGAGAAAGCAGAGCGCUGAGCCCAGCAAUCGAUAAACUGUCGCUGUGAGAUGCAGAAUUCUGUUCACAGAAUUCCAUUCUUCAGCAUCCUUGAGUGAAAAGAUAUGUGUAAGUUCCAGCCUCAUAAAUAAAAUUACUUCGCCUGAAAAACAGAAAAAUGAGAACAUUUUG